rnacentral:tRNA from 6 species
UCCCCUGUAGCUCAGUUGGUAGAGCAGGCGGCUGUUAACCGCCUUGUCAGAGGUUCGAGUCCUCUCGGGGGAGC